rnacentral:lncRNA from 1 species
CGUUCAAUCCACCCGCAAGACCCCUCAAAUCACCUAGAUUCGCCUUUGGUGGUACAUUACCAGCCAAUGUAUUCGUGUUCCCUAAACCAAAACCAACAUACAAUGAUUAAAAUCAUUCCCUAGCUAGCAGUGUAGGAUAUAUGUAUUAGAUACUGGACAAUACCGGUAAUGGAUCCAACGAUGAUGAGACGCUUGGAAGGGUAAUCAGAUUUCUUCAAGUCAUCAAGCAACAACCUUGCGAGAAGAAAAUGUCCCAAAUGAUUCGUGGCAACGCUAAGCUCAAAGCCUUCU